rnacentral:rRNA from 1 species
AGAGUUUGAUCCUGGCUCAGGACGAACGCUGGCGGCGUGCCUAAUACAUGCAAGUCGAGCGCGGGAAGCAGGCAGAUUCUCUUCGGAGGUGACGCCUGUGGAACGAGCGGCGGACGGGUGAGUAACACGUGGGCAACCUGCCUGUAAGAUUGGGAUAACCCCGGGAAACCGGGGCUAAUACCGGAUAAUACUUUUCGUUGCAUAACGAGAAGUUGAAAGGCGGCUUUUAGCUGUCACUUACAGAUGGGCCCGCGGCGCAUUAGCUAGUUGGUAAGGUAACGGCUUACCAAGGCGACGAUGCGUAGCCGACCUGAGAGGGUGAUCGGCCACACUGGGACUGAGACACGGCCCAGACUCCUACGGGAGGCAGCAGUAGGGAAU